AGGGAGGUAAUUAAGUCACCUGCCUGAGACCACAAUGUGAGUAGUAAGCAGGGAGGUGGGAUAUGAACCCAGGCAGCCUGGCUCUUGAAUCAGUGUGGGUUCUCUGGGGAGUUUUACUUUAUCAAAGACAGAAAAGAGAGCUAAAAGUUGACCCUAGUUUCUCAGCUGUAAAGGAAGCUCUUUAAAAAUUUCAAGGUAGCAUACAUGGUGGCAGUGACUCUGAGCUGCAGAAACAGUGCUGGAUUUUCCAGGCAGAAGAGGUUGAUAAUGAAAUGGUUGAGGGGACUGUAUUUUGAAAUGACUGAAGGCAAGAGGAGAAAAACCAAAUUUUAAACCUCAAAGCUGAGGGGGACUAGGACCCUUGGUAGGUGUUGAAUUCUAGGGCAGUGAUUCACCAGGACAAAGGGCAGUGACUGCUUAAGAUACUAAUUCAGUGUCAAAUAACUCAUGUGAAAGAGCUCUUCUUUUUUCAACACUUUUAAACCCCUAGUGAAUGCAAUUUACCAGGAUGGGAGCAAUACUGAAGGCUUCUGGUGCCCAUCUGUCCGUUUGUCUUGUCCUUUUGUGAAAUCUUGACCCACUUUUUCAGCUUGUCUUGGACAGUAGAGCACACUCUUGGGGCCCGGAGGCCUCUUCCAACCAAGUAAUAUUUCUUUGGUGGAAAAAAACUUAACGGCACUGUUGGUUUGGUGACAAACCUGGAGUGAGGUCACUUUGAAGCCAUGUGGACUUGGAUGAGGGCCUGCAAACAAAAUCCAGCAAGAUGAAGGGAAGUGGUAUACUCUGAAAGUCCAGUUUUGUAUCCCUUUAGUCAGGAGCUGACAAUAUUAUUUUGGGGGUGUUGGGCACCAACAGAGCCCAUUGAAUCCACAUGACUCGGCCGAUAGGGGAGCACACACGUCACCAUACCCGCUGUCCAGGAAUCAGAGGAGGAGGUGCCCUGGGGUGAAGCCUGGGCCACAGCCCCGGUUAGCAGCUCUGCAGGCAUCUUACCUUGGAAACAGCACAGCUUGGCUUCCGUGUCAUCGCUGAGUUCAGAGAAUCCUAGUUUCACCGUGUCCUCAGUAGAGACCAGAGAACCAGAUGGAAAUGAAGGAUGAUCUCUGUGUUCUGUUUUCAGUUAUGUAGGAGUCCAGAAUAAGGAUCCCAUCCAGGAUUCCAUACUUCAGUCCUCAGGUCUCCUUCGGCUCUCCGUGCCUGUGACAGUUUCUUAACAGACUUUUCUUGUUUUUUAUGACUUGGACAGUUUGGGGGCAUACUAGUCAGUUGUUGUAGAGUGCCCCUCAACUGGGGUUUGGCUGAUGUUCUUCUCACGGUUCGACUGGGGUUGUGUGUUUGGGGGAGAGCGACCCCUGGGGCCAAGAGCCAUUUUCAUCCCAUCGUUUCAAGGGUGCCUGCUGUCUGUGUGACGUUGACCUUGGUAUCCUGACUGAGGCGGCGCUUGUCAGGUGUCUGUACUGCAAAGUUACUCUCUCUUUCUCCCCUUCGCAUCUGUGCUCUUGGGAAGAAGGCAGCACCCACGUCAGGAGUCGGGGGCCAUGCUCCACCUCUUUGGGGCGGGGCAGGGUACCUACCUACAGUGUUUGGAAUUCUGCAGCCCAGGAGCUUUGUCUGUUCUCCCCAGGUAUUCAUUUAUCCAGUCGUUUACUUAUAUCAGUGUAGACCAAUGGGUAUUUAUACUUGUGUUAUAAUCUGACACAACACUACUGUAUUGCUCAAAUUGUUCCAGCUUUGGCCAUCUGGAGAGCUUUCAGCUGGUUCCUGUCUCCCUUUGCCAUACCCUGUUAUUGUGGGUUCUUGUCUUCCUUUUUUAACAUAGCUGCUUGGUAUUCCACUGUAAGAGUACACCAUAAUAUAUUUAA